CGUAGGGCCCGAGCGUUAUCCGGAAUUAUUGGGCGUAAAGUGCGCGUAGGCGUUCCUACAAGUCGGUCGUUAAAUCUCACGGCCCAACCGUGAGGCUGCGAGCGAUACUGUAGGAAUUGAGUUACACAGGGGCAAGCAGAAUUUCCAGAGUAGGGUGAAAUCCGUUGAUACUGGAAGGAAUACCAAUGGCGAAGGCAGCUUGCUGGGUGCUAACUGACGCUGAGAGCGCGAAAGCGGUGGGAGCAAACGGGAUUAGACUACCCCGGUAGUCCACGCUGUAAACGAUGUCAACUAGCAAUAGGAAGAGUCGACCCUUUCUGUUGCGAAGCUAACGCGUUAAGUUGACCGCCUGGGGAGUACGGCCGCAAGGCUA
rnacentral:rRNA from 1 species